rnacentral:rRNA from 1 species
AGAGUUUGAUCAUGGCUCAGGACGAACGCUGGCGGCGUGCUUAACACAUGCAAGUCGAACGGAGAUAAGUUGAAAGCUUGCUGGAUACUUAUCUUAGUGGCGGACGGGCGAGUAACGCGUGAGCAACCUGCCCCAAACUGGGGGAUAACGUCGGGAAACCGGCGCUAAUACCGCAUAACACUACGAAGCCGCAUGGUUUUGUAGUCAAAGCUCCGGCGGUUUGGGAUGGGCUCGCGUCCGAUUAGCUAGUUGGCGGGGUAAAGGCCCACCAAGGCGACGAUCGGUAGCCGGACUGAGAGGUUGGCCGGCCGCAUUGGGACUGAGACACGGCCCAGACUCCUAUGGGAGGCAGCAGUGGGGAAUAUUGCGCAAUGGAGGAAACUCUGACGCAGCAACGCCGCGUGAAGGAAGAAGGCCUUCGGGUUGUAAACUUCUUUGAUCGGGGACGAAGAUGACGGUACCCGAGGAACAAGCCACGGCUAACUACGUGCCAGCAGCCGCGGUAAUACGUAGGUGGCGAGCGUUGUCCGGAAUUACUGGGUGUAAAGGGCGUGUAGGCGGGGGAGCAAGUCAGAUGUGAAAUUCCGAGGCUUAACUUCGGCGCUGCAUCUGAAACUGUUUCUCUUGAGUGCUGGAGAGGAAAGUGGAAUUCCCAGUGUAGCGGUGAAAUGCGUAGAGAUUGGGAGGAACACCAGUGGCGAAGGCGGCUUUCUGGACAGUAACUGACGCUGAGGCGCGAAAGCGUGGGGAGCAAACAGGAUUAGAUACCCUGGUAGUCCACGCUGUAAACGAUGGAUACUAGUGUGGGAGGUAUCGACCCCUUCCGUGCCGGAGUUUACACAAUAAGUAUCCCACCUGGGGAGUACGGCCGCAAGGUUGAAACUCAAAUGAAUUGACGG